UACGGAGGAUCCAAGCGUUGUCCGGAUUUACUGGUUAAAGGGUGCGUAGGUGGACUUUAAGUCAGUGGUGAAGCCUGUAGCUUAACUAUAGAAUUGCCAUUGAAACUGAAAGUCUUGAGUACAGUUGAGGUGAGCGGAAUGUAUCAUGUAGCGGUGAAAUGCUUAGAUAUGAUACAGAACACCGAUUGCGAAGGCAGCUCACUUAAACUGCAAACUGACAC
rnacentral:rRNA from 1 species